UACGUAGGUGGCAAGCGUUGUCCGGAUUUACUGGGCGUAAAGGGAGCGUAGGCGGAUACUUAAGUGGGAUGUGAAAUACCUGGGCUUAACUUGGGUGCUGCAUUCCAAACUGGGUGUCUAGAGUGUUGGAGAGGAAAGUGGAAUUCCUAGUGUAGCGGUGAAAUGCGUAGAGAUUAGGAAGAACACCAGUGGCGAAGGCGACUUUCUGGACAAUAACUGACGCUGAGGCUCGAAAGCGUGGGGAGCAAACAGGAUUAGAUACCCUGGUAGUCCACGCCGUAAGCGAUGGGUACUAGGUGGAGGAGGGAUCGAAUCCACCUGUGCCGCCGUUAACACAAUAAGUACCCCGCCUGGGGAGUACGGUCGCAAGAUUAAA
rnacentral:rRNA from 1 species